UCAUAGUUAGGUUAAUUUAAACCCCUAACUUGUGGCGUUAGAAACAUAUUUUAUUUAUACUAUGAA
rnacentral:tRNA from 1 species